CCUACGGGGGGCAGCAGUGGGGAAUAUUGCACAAUGGGCGCAAGCCUGAUGCAGCCAUGCCGCGUGUGUGAAGAAGGCCUUCGGGUUGUAAAGCACUUUCAGCGGGGAGGAAGGCGUUAAGGUUAAUAACCUUGGCGAUUGACGUUACCCGCAGAAGAAGCACCGGCUAACUCCGUGCCAGCAGCCGCGGUAAUACGGAGGGUGCAAGCGUUAAUCGGAAUUACUGGGCGUAAAGCGCACGCAGGCGGUCUGUCAAGUCGGAUGUGAAAUCCCCGGGCUCAACCUGGGAACUGCAUUCGAAACUGGCAGGCUAGAGUCUUGUAGAGGGGGGUAGAAUUCCAGGUGUAGCGGUGCAAUGCGUAGAGAUCUGGAGGAAUACCGGUGGCGAAGGCGGCCCCCUGGACAAAGACUGACGCUCAGGUGCGAAAGCGUGGGGAGCAAACAGGAUUAGAUACCCUAGUAGUC
rnacentral:rRNA from 1 species